rnacentral:lncRNA from 1 species
CAAUCGAACUCGGGACAUUCACAGGAUCCGAGGUAUGGAGAUUUGAUCUCUACCUUAUUUUUGGCUAAUGAUUGUUUUUCUUUCUCAGAUUUCAUAUCGUGGUUACUUGUUCAUAUCUAGAUCCUUACUAUGAUUUUUAGAUUAGAUCUGGUAUGUAUAUAAAUUAAAAUUAUUUUAAUUUAUUUAUUUUUACUUAGGGCUGGAAGUGGGCUCGGACCAGCCUGAGGCCCAUCGGGUUGGGCCAGCUUUAGAUUGGGCUUUGAGCUUGGCCUGA